GAUGAAGAACGCAGCGAAAUGCGAUACGUAAUGUGAAUUGCAGAAUUCAGUGAAUCAUCGAGUCUUUGAACGCACAUUGCGCCCCCUGGUAUUCCGGGGGGCAUGCCUGUCCGAGCGUCAUUGCUGCCCUCAAGCACGGCUUGUGUGUUGGGCCUCCGUCCUCCUCCCGGGGGACGGGCCCGAAAGGCAGCGGCGGCACCGCGUCCGGUCCUCGAGCGUAUGGGGCUUCGUCACCCGCUCUUGUAGGCCCGGCCGGCGCUUGCCGACACAUCAAUCUUUUUUCCAGGUUGACCUCGGAUCAGGUAUGGAUACCCGCUGAACUUAAGCAUAUCAAUAAGCGGAGGA
rnacentral:misc_RNA from 1 species